CACGGUGAAAAACACACUGUCCUCAGUGCGUUUGAUAAGCUAACAUGAGACAGGAGCUUUUUUUCACGGUUGUGUCAGUGUAUCAGACACAAGCCUGAGCACCAAUUGAUUCCGUUAUAG
rnacentral:pre_miRNA from 13 species